rnacentral:rRNA from 1 species
CGUUCCCGGGCCUUGUACACACCGCCCGUCAAGUCACGAAAGUUGGUAACACCCGAAGCCGGUGGCCUAACCCCUUGUGGGAGGGAGCUGUCGAAGGUGGGACUGGCGAUUGGGAC